AAAACAACAGACCGAUGUGACACAUUUUACAGCGCUAAGCUAACGCUAACCAGAUUCAACAGUACAAGUAUUAUUUCUCUACUGCUAAAACUCACUGAACAAAGCAAAGAAGAGCAAAAAUAAAGGUCGCUUUAUGAAGCAGUGAUGAUGAAUUUUGUGUUACAUUUCCUUUUGUU